CAAGACGUGGUGUGGGUGGGGGCCCAGGACGCAGGAGCCUGGGCUGGGCCGGCAGCUGGCUAAGGGCAGGCUGUUGGAAUAAAGGAACACAGAUCUCAGGUGUGAGCUGGUGUGUUGGCAUCUCAAGCAGGUCUCACCUGGUGUGUCAGGGGGCACCUGGGGGUGUGGGGGGCUAGCCCACACUGGGUGAAGGGUUGAGCACAGGGCUGACUGUGGGAGGGGAAAACUGCCCUUCAGAGCCCAACGCCGGGCCCACAUGGGGUGUGCUGGACCGAGCCUCCCAAGCUGGAGCCAGCUCCAUAGGCCCUGGAGACUUGCAGGCCCCGUUCUGCUUGCUACACCCGGACCACCCAGGGGGCACGGCGCUUUCUAGGCAGGCCUGCCCCAGGCGACAGGGGCUCUGAGGUCCCAGGCAGAUCCUGAGCCCUGGAUAGCAUAGACCUGGAGGAAAACCUGGCUCUGAGCCCCAGGUGGCCAUGUGACCUUGGGCAGACAGCAUCCUCCUCUGACUGGGGCUGCUGGAGCACUGACCCAAGUGUUAGGGUUGACCUAGCCCCAAGCAUCUUCCCCAGGGGUGGCCGCUUCCUCUCACCCUGCUGCUGGCCUUCCAUCCUCAUCCUUCUUUCUGGGGGUCUGCCCGCCUGUCAUCACUGGCUUCUUCCUCUUGGCUGGCUUGGUUUCAGGGGAUAGGGCAGGGCUGGCUGCCACUCUUUUUAUUUAUUUUAUUUAUUUAUUUGAGACAGAGUCUCGCUGUGUCUCCCAGGCUGGAGUGCAGUGGCACAGUCUCAGCUCACUGCAACCUCCGCCUCUUGGGUUCAAGUGAUUUUCCUAUCUCAGCCUCCUGAGUAACUGGGACUACAGGCACCUGCCACCAUGUCCGGCUAAUUUUUUUGUAUUUUUAGUAGAGAUAGGGUUUUACCAUGUUGGCCAGGCUGGUCUCGAACUUCUGACCUCUGGUGAUCCACCUGCCUCGACCUCCCAGAGUGCUGGGAUUACAGGCAUGAGCCAACCACUUGGGCUGGGCUCUGUACCGUCCUGAGUGACGGGCUGGCACUGUCCUGCUCCAAGUGCAUAUGGCCGGGCAGGAGGACAGAGGCUCAGGGCUGGUGUGACCUCUUCUUCAAGGCCCAGUCCCCCUUCUCUGCCUCUUCCCUCUCCAACCCCAGAGACUUGGCCCCUGUACCUCAUCCCAGGCCGGCCAGGGGGACGUAGGGGUCAGAGGCGGGUGGCCUGGCUCCUGGCCCCUAGUCUUGUGUCUGCUGGGGCUUCCUGCUCAUGGCAAGGGCCUGUGGGUUCCAGCUCUGCAGCCCAAGCCUGGGGGAUUGCAUGCCUCACUCAUGGGCUUACAGGGCCCAACCCCUGAUGCCUGCCUGCCUGGCCUCUGAUGCCAGCUGGGCCUGUGUCCCUGGCUGAAGCCGGGCUGGCGCCCACCCAGUCAGUCUGCAUUGGCGUUGGCGGUGCUGAGGCAGCAUCUGGGUGUCCUGGUCUGCCCUUGGCCGUACCUCCCUUGUAGAGGCGGCUCAGCGAAGCCCAGGUUUCUGGCCCCUGGGACCCCUGGGUUGGGGCAGAGCAGAGGCUGUCCUGGCCCCAGCCUGCUCCUGCCCAGUGCCUCUGUGGGACCACCCUCUGUGGUGGGCUGGGGGGCCUGGAAGUGAGGCCCCGCCCUCUCCCCGAAGUUGUGUGUGGCACUGGCCAGGUGGACUGGGGCCAUGGCCGGCUUCCUUCCAAGGCUUCUGGAGCGGGAGUCGCCCAAAACCUGGACCCGGCCUACCCAAAGUGCCUGCACUCCUCCUGCACUCCUGGGAUGGGUCCCAGAACCUUCUGGAAUGACCUAUGGCUGGUAUGUGAGCAGCCAGGUCUGCUGCCGGGUGACUAGGCAGCUCCCUUGGAUCCUGGUGGGGCCUCAGCCUGCAGCCUGCUCUCCCCUCUUAGGGCAGUAAGUGGGGGAGGCUGGCAGGGCAGUGGAGAGCGCAGGACUUGGGGGUGGGUGGGAGGGGUGGUGAGGGGGUGUGUUUGCCCCUCCUCUCCUGCCUGCUCCCACCCCUGGCCCUUACCUUCUUGGGAACUGUGGUGAUUGCCUUCUGUCAGGUGUGUUUAAGCGGCUGUCCCCAUGGUGGAGGUCUUUGCUCUUCUCGUGGCCUGCCUGGGUGGGCAGGUGGGCUGCAGCCCCUGGCACCAGCCUGCUCCAGCUCCCACACCGCCCACAGACCUCCCUGUCCUCAUAUUCUCUGACUGCAGGCCUGCCUGCCUCUGCUCUGCUCUGCCCCAGAUGGGCUGGGCUGGGCCUGGUGUUCAAGGCCAUCCCUAUGUGCCCCCCAGCCCACUGCUGGAGCCCCAGGCCCCUGCAGCCUGCUCCACACUCUGGGUUCCCAGGGGAAGCAGGGGUAGAGUGAGUCAGGAUUCAGGUGUAGAGGGCCUGUCCCCAGCAGGGGUCCCCCUGCCCCAGGGCCCAGGGUCACUGGUACAGAUAGCCCAUGAGCGAACCUGGGAGGCCUUCUGUGUGUGGGCAGAGCAGCUGCUGUGUCCUGGCCAUUCUCCCGCCGCCUGUCUGUGGGCACACUGUGGGCAGGUACCUUUGUGCCCAUGGGGCAGGCAGGGCGGGGUCUUCUGGCCCUGCUGACCCUUCGCUUGGGAAUGUCAGGUGUGGCUCAGCUCUGCCUUCUCUGCCACCUAGGUUACCAGGCAGACUCCUCACUGCCUUAGGGGGUCCCUGAAGUUACAGGGGAUGGGUUUUCCCUCCCCCAGAGCCUGGCUUGCUCCUUCGUUUGGGGCCUCCCCGUCCGCCUGCAGUCCCCGGUUACAGCCCCCAUUCAGUGAGGGCUGUGGGGCAGAGGUCUAGGCUUGAGAGGCACCUGGACUCUGUCCCUGACCUUGUUGGACUGGCAGUGGGGCUGGUGUGGGGGACAACAGGUGUCCUCAGAGAGGGAGGCCAGCUCUUGCCUGGCAGGCAGGGCCUGGCUGUGCACUGGCUGGGGGCUGCCCUGCACUGCAGAAAGGACAGGUGGGCUGUAGCGUCCACACCACACCAGGAUGCCCUGCUCAUCGCUCUGGCCAGAGAACCUGAGCGCAGGCAGGGGAGGGCUGCAGAGGCGGGGCGUGAGCUAGGCGUUGGGCCGGGUGUCGGUGCUGGGUCCAGCUGUCCAUCCGACUGUCUGUCCAUGGGGUCCUGUGUGAGGUUCUAGCCCAGCUGCUGUUUGCCUUCCAGCUGCUGCAGACUCUGGAGCGUGAGAACCAGCGCUUGGAGGCUGUCCUGGCGUGGCGGCACACUGAGCUGGUCUUCUGGCGGUGGAUGGUGAGGAAGCCCGUGCAUCCCUCUCCUGGCAUCCCUUCCCACAGCAGCCCCCAGGUGGGGCGUUGGGGAUCUUCCUGUUUUCCAGACAGGAAGAGGGGCUUUCAGGGAGGCCACAGACCUAGCGUAGGCUCUUUCUAGGACUUCCGCUCGCCUUCUGGGGAGGCCCAGUGCUGCCCCCACCUCAGCUCCAUGGCCUUCUAGAGUGAGGCCUUUGUGCCUCCCUGGACGUCACAGCUGCUGAGAUGGUGGCAUCCAGCCCGCUGUGGGACCUAGGGGACUACCACUGCCCUCUGUGCCCUCUGUCCCUCUGUCCCCUUGGCUUGGUACACGCUGUCUCACUUGGGUCUCUGUAGGACACGGUCCUGGGCACCUGUGCCCCAGAGGUGCCUGCUGCAGCCUCACAGCCCACCUUCCUGCCCUGGGUCCCUGAGCGUGGGGGUGGCGAGUUGGAGCUGGUAGUGCGGGAGCUGCAGGCACUGGAGGAGGAGCUGCGGGAGGCUGUGGAGCGCAGGCGGGCAGCCUGGGAGGCCAAGGCUGGAGGCUGUGGACGGGGGCCAGAGUGGAGUGCUGCGCGGCGGGCCUCUCGGGAGGCUGUGGAAAAGGAGCUGGGAGCUCUACAGCAGUGCUGGAAGCAAGACAGUGGCCCGGCCCGGCCCCAUGGGCCACACCGGCUGGUGAGACGAGAGGAUGGGGCAGCAGGGGAACGGGACCUGCGGGCAGCUGAGGUGAUCAGGACGCUGAGGAGCCAGGAGGCCUGCCUGGAGGCAGUGCUACGUCGACUACAGGGACAGUGUCGGCAGGAACUGGCCAGGCUGGUGGGAGCCCUGCCUGGCCUCAUCUGGAUCCCGCCUCCUGGACGCUGAGGGCCCUCGUGUGGGAAGCCUGCCCUGGCCCAGCCUGGCUGGGUCUUAGAGGAGCAGAUUCCAAGGCCAGGUGGCCGCAGGGACGAUGCAGAUGCAGAGCCCACGUCACAUGCUCGCUCCAGGGGUGGGGCUGGGCUGACUCUGGCUGGAGCCCAGGCCUGUGGCCAGCAGCACUGGGGACAGGAAUGGCCGGUCCCUUGAGGAGGUCGUGACAGGCUCAGCCUGGUGGUGUGGAGGGGACUCGGAAAUAAAUUGUAGCGGCUUUCCUGCC
rnacentral:sRNA from 1 species